UACGUAGGGGGCAAGCGUUGUCCGGAUUUAUUGGGCGUAAAGAGCGUGUAGGCGGCUUCACAGGUCUGCUGUGAAAACUCGAGGCUCAACCUCGAGCUGUCGGUGGAAACCGUGGGGCUAGAGUCCGGAAGAGGAGAGUGGAAUUCCCGGUGUAGCGGUGAAAUGCGCAGAUAUCGGGAAGAACACCCGUGGCGAAGGCGGCUCUCUGGGACGGUACUGACGCUGAGACGCGAAAGCGUGGGGAGCAAACA
rnacentral:rRNA from 1 species